AGCUAUUCUCAAUCAGGCUGUGUUAAAACCACUCAGGUUGAGCAUGGGGAAGCUCAGCCGGUACAAGUGGUAGUCAGUGUUCCCCUGACAGUAUAAUUUUUAUGGUGUUUGUUUUAUCAAACAUAAAUGUGCAACUUGACUGCCACAAACUUCCAGAAAGAAAAAAAACACAAAGAUAUCAUCGCAGAACAUAAAAUAAGGUCUAUAUUCAGCUUCUCUGGAGAAGAGCAGAAAAAUCUACUGCUGUGAAGCAUGUCUUCUUAUGAAAAGAGUUCAGAAGGAAAAAUGUCUGAGCUUCUCUGGAGAAGAGCAGAAAAUCUGCUGCCGUGAAGUAUGUCCUCUUAUGAAAAGAGUUCAUGUUAAAGUUUGUCAAUGAGAAAAACUCACUUGAGGCUUGGAAAGUGGAAUGAAGAGAUAGCACAUGAUUUCCUGGAGCAGUUGCGGAGACAUCUGUGAGCAGGUAUGGGAUCUGUAGAUUUUAGGUGUGCUUCUUGAGAAGUACACACGCAGGUACUGCAACCUGAGAGUUAUGUGGUGCCUUCCAGUGAUUUCCCUUGAGAGUCACUCACUUGCGUCUCCGAGAUGAUUCUACUCUGCAGCCCAGGGGCGAACCAUAAAUAUAGCAACAGCUGAAUUUUUCUGACAAACUGAAGUGUCUUUCACACUGUGAGCUCAAAUUAUUAAUAGCAAGUUAUUUGACCCUCACUCCUUUCGCCUUGCAGUGGUUGUGAAGCCUCUAUUAUACAAUCCCUUAUAAUGGAAUUCAUACAGAACACUUUCUUCCUGAAAGCCCCAUGAAUGAUUUAAAGACUUAAUACAUUUUAUGAAAAUUAUUUCUUUAUGUGUUCUACCCCUCUACUAACUUGUGUUACUUAGCUAUUGCAAUUCCACAAGAACUUAAGUACAGAGAUUGAAAUCUAAUUGAAUUACAUGUUAAGUCUGCAUCCUUGAAGAAACAAAGCAAAUUGGUCAGAGUUUAUUAGUUUGAAUACCCAACUGCAUAAGACUUGGUUUGUGAUCUGAAAGUGAAUUUGUAGUUAGAAUUGAGGGCUCUCCUUGCUUUUCUGAUACAUCAGGCAGUAUAGAAGAUACCACCCUCCACUCUUCAUCGGGGCCCUUUCCCCAGCAGCACACACAAUUGGAGGUUGAUGUGUCACAUGGCAUCUGAAAUAAACUUGUGUGCUUGAAUGCUAUCUGCCCCAUGUAGGGGGAGAAGGCUAAAAAAGGAGACUACUAUCUGAAUGAUCUCUCAGCCUACUCUUUACUACGCUCUAUCAAGAAAAUCAGUUUUCACAUCCUAGAGAUGUCAUCCUCUACCCUUGAUACACAUUAGAAUCAUCUGAGGAUUUAUUUUUAAUGUUCAAGGUCCAUGCUCAGCUACCAUGAUUAAUCUGUGCAGUUAGUUCUAAACUUUCCCAAGUGAACUAAUAAACAGACAUGAAUGAGAACCACUAUAAGUAAGAGGGUAUCUUAAGCAACAUCUUGUUAGAAGCCUGUUUUUUAUGCAAAUUUAAACUUUACUUAUAGUUAGAAAAGAAAUUAAACUAUCACGUACCAGCACUAAUUAUAAUUUUUGUCAGUUUUGCUUCAUGACUUUUCUUGAAGUGUCAUGUCUUGAAGUGUCAUUCUACUUUAGUAUGCAUCACCAACUCAUCGAUAUUUCUUCCCCCAAAUCACAGUAUGAUUAUCACACCCACAAAUUCCAAUAGUUCCUUAAUAUCAUCUAAUGCUCAGUUCAUAUUCCUGAAUUUUCUAAAUCUCCUAAUUGUCUCUGAAGUGUCUUUCUAAAGUGAGUUGUUGGGCCCGGCAUGGUGGCUCACACCUGUAAUCCCAGCACUUUGGGAGGCCGAGGCAGGUGGAUCACCUGAGGUCAGGAGGUCGCCAACAUGGUGAAACCCCAUCUCUACUAAAAAUACGAAAAAUUAGCCAGAUGUGUUGGUGCGCACCUGUAAUCCCCGCUACUUGGAAGGCUGAGGCAGGAGAAUUGCUUGAACCCAGGAGGAGGAGGUUGCAGUGAGCUGAGAUCGCCUCACUGCACUCCAGCCUGGCGACAGAGUGAGACUCCGUCUCAAAAAAAUAAAAAAUAGAUUUAAAAAAUUAUAAAGCGAGUUGUUGGAAACAGGGCUAGAUAUUGUUUUUUAAAUCUUUAAUGUAGAAAAUCCAUUCCCAUUCCUUUACAUUUUAGUUAUGAACUUGUUGGGAGGAAAAUACCAAUUCUCUUUUAGGUUUAGCAAAUGUAUCCUGGUGGUAUUUACAUGCCACUCUAUUCCCUGCAUUUGUAAUAAAAAGAAAUUUAGAUCUAUGGACUUGACUAAAUUCAGAUUAAAAAAUUAGGCAAGAAUAACUUAGAGAUGAAGCUGAGUAUUUCAUAUUGUAUUGCAUCAGUAUACAUGUGUCAUUUAUUUCCUAUUGGUUCAGAUAAAAUUAAUUUUGAGGUUUAGAUAGUUACAGUCUAAUUCCUCCAUUACAAAGCUUUAUAUCACACCAGCUUACUUUUUGGUGGACUGUGAAUAUUCAUUUCUAAGUUAAUUUUUCAUAUAAUGGUAUUAGCUUGAAUAGAUUAUUUAGUUUAUUUAAUAAUAAAGGGCAGUAGUGAUUUUAAAAAAUUAUUUUAUUGUAUUAUACUAUAUGUGAUUCUUUUGUUAAAAAAAGCAAAAAACUAUUUCUUAUUAGUUAUACUUAUUUGGUUACCUUGAGAUAUAGGUCCUUCUGGAAGAACAAAAUAAAUAAUUAAAUCACCAACUUAUGGGUUAAAGAUUUUGUACGAUAGUUACUUCCAAAAAGAAUUUAGAAUUAUUUGGCCUACUUCUUGGCUUAUUUCAAAUAAUCUAAAAAAAUACAAUGAACAAUUGUAAUUGAGCCAUUUUUAAGCCACCAGGACCUAAAUUUUGAAUAAGAUGUAAGCAGAGGCUCUUACCCAUUCCUUAGCCCAAACCUCUCAUAAAUGUGGUAAAUUUCUUUUCAUUUACCAAAAACUUAGAGGAAUUUCUGCUAAAUGUAAUAAUAAAGUAAUUUAAUUUAAAAAGGCAAGGGCAACACAGAAUUGUCAUUCUGAGAGGAAAUAGUAUGCCCCAGAAGAAAGUAGAGAUGAGCCAUUUUAGAACACUGGAGUCAGCUUGGGGAGGGUUCCAUUAAAGCUGAACUCAACACAAAAAUAAUAUGGUAGUGACAAUAACGAUUGCAUUUAUUGUAACUCAUACAUUACAUAAAACUGUAACUUACUAAAGUAUGGUUGAAAUAAAAUAAUGCUUGGGAUUUUCUACAAUAUACUUCAGUGAUAGGAGAAUAUAAAUGUGUUGGGUGAAACAAGAUUAUACGUGUAUUGGUAUUGGUAAAGUGUGCAGUUUUAACACCAUUCUCUUUACUUUUGUGGAUUUAAAUUUUUUCAUUAAUAAUCUAUGAAUUCAUAAUGAUUUUUUUAAAAACUGAGAAGUUGUAUAAAGUGAAUAUCUCACUUUUGGAGGUAACUAUCAUUAAUUUGACUUUUGACAGACUCUGACACUUAAAUAUUUAAUAUGCUUUUAGAACUUCAAAAUGAUGUUUUUUUCUAUAAGAAAACAUUAAAAUUUCUUUCAAGCCAUUAACAUUUCUAUCACUAUUUUUCUUCUCUCUUUGACAGUUGUAAACAAAAGGAUUUCUGUUUCAGUAAUUUAAUGGAGUAAGUUAUUCAAGCCGAAGGCAGACCCAGAAGUAAUAAUUCUACUUAGGCUAAUCUAACACUUGGCAAUAUAAAUUGAUUGUUUCUUUUGUAAUUAGUUGACAGCGUGCGCCCUUGCUUGCUCUUGGCGCCUCCUCGGCCUUGGCGCCCACUCUGGCCACGCUUGAGGAGCCCUUCAGCCCACCGCUGCACUGUGGGAGCCCCUUUCUGGGCUGGCCAAGGCCAGAGCCGGCUCCUUCAGAUUGCAGGGAGGUGUGGAGGGAGAGGGGCGAGCAGGAACUGGGGCUGCGCGUGGUGCUUGCAGGCCAGCACGAGUUCCGGGUGGGCAUGGGCUCAGCGGGCCCCCGACUCGGAGCAGCCGGCCGGGCCCCGCUGGCCCGGGGCAGUGAGGGGCUUAGCACCUGGGGCAGCAGCUGCUAUACUCAAUUUCUUGCCGGGCCUUAGGUGCCUUCCCGCGGGGCAGGGCUCAGGACCUGCAGCCCGCCAUGCCUGAGCCUCCCCCCAUCCGUAGGCUCCUGUGCGGUCCAAGCCUCCCAGACAAGCGCUGCCCCCUGCUCCACACCGGCCCCCAGUCCCAUUGACCACCCAAGGGCUGAGGAGUGCGGGGCAAACGGCGCAGGACUGGCAGGCAGCUCCACCUGUGGCCCUAGUGCCGGAUUCACUGGGUGAAGUCAGCUGGGCUCCUGACUCUGGUGGGGACUUGGAGAACCUUUAUGUCUAGCUAGGGGAUUGUAAAUACGCCAAUCGGCACUCUGUAUCUAGCUCAAGGUUUGUAAACACACCAAUCAGCACCCUGUGUCUAACUCAGGGUUUGUGAAUGCACGAAUGGACACUCUGUAUCUGGUGGGGACUUGGAGAACCUUUGUGUGGACACUAUCUAGCUAAUCUAGUGGGGACGUGGAGAACCUUUGCGUCUAGCUCAGGGAUUGUAAACACACCAAUCAGCACCCUGUCAAAACAGACCACUGGGCUCUCUGUAAAAUGGACCAAUCAGCAGGAUGUGGGUGGGGCCAGAUAAGAAUAAAAUCAGGCUGCCGGAGCCAGCAGUGGCAACCCGCUCGGUCCCCUUCCACACCAUGGAAGUUUUGUUCUUUCGCUGUAUGCAAUAAAUCUUGCUGCUGCUCACUUUUUGGGUCCACGCUGCCUUUAUGAGCUAUAACACUCACCACGAAGGUCUGCAGCUUCACUCCCGAAGCCAGCGAGACCACGAACCCACCGGGAGGAAGGAGCAACUCCAGACGCGCCACCUUAAGAGCUGUAACACUCACCGCGAAGGUCCGCAGCUUCACUCCUGAGCCAGCGAGACCGCGAACCCCACCAAAAGGAAGAAACUCCGAACACAUCUGAAGCACUGUAUAGGAUGUCUGAUUACCGUGAGAGCAUGAGCUGUGCUGAAUCUCCAGCUAGCCACAAUGAAAAGCCUUUUGGAGAGAGAAUGUCCAGUCAACCUCCCAGCUGUUCCAGCCUUUCCAACAGAGGUAUCAAACAGGUGAUAUGAGUCUGACAUAUGCACUGAAACAUCAACAGGUCUUGCUAUGUCAACUAUGCAGGAGUGCAGUGGCA